rnacentral:rRNA from 1 species
UACGGAGGGGGCUAGCGUUGUUCGGAAUUACUGGGCGUAAAGCGCGCGUAGGCGGACCUGCAAGUCGGGGGUGAAAGCCCGAGGCUCAACCUCGGAACUGCCUUCGAUACUGCGGGUCUCGAGUCCGAGAGAGGUGAGUGGAAUUCCUAGUGUAGAGGUGAAAUUCGUAGAUAUUAGGAAGAACACCAGUGGCGAAGGCGGCUCACUGGCCCGGUACUGACGCUGAGGCACGAAAGCGUGGGGAGCAAACAGG